GUGCAGCAGUCGCGAAAACUUUACAAUGCGGGAAACCGCGAUAAGGGGACACCGAGUGCCAGCAUACUAUGUUGGCUGUCCACAUGUGUAAAUAGCAUGUGUUAGCAAGGGCCGGGCAAGACCGGUGCCAGCCGGCCGCGGUAACCACCGGCGGCCCGAGUGGUAAUCACUAUUAUUGGGGUCUAAAGGGUCCGUAGCCGGUUUUGAUUAGUCUUCCGGGAAAUCUGAUAGCUC
rnacentral:rRNA from 1 species